rnacentral:rRNA from 1 species
UUUGAAAUCUGACUUUCGGGUCCGACUUGUAAUCUGCAGAUGAGUCUUUUGGCGGAGCGCCGUCCAAGUUCCCUGGAACGGGACGCCGGAGAGGGUGAGAGCCCCGUACCGACGUGCGCCGAGUCUUUGCAAAGCUCAUUCGAAGAGUCGAGUAGUUUGGAAAUGCUGCUCUAAUUGUGGGGUAAAUCUCCCAUAAGGCUAAAUACUGGCCAGAGACCGAUAGCGCACAAGUAGCGUGAGCGAAAGAUGAAAAGAGCCUUGAACAAGGGCGUCAAAAAGCAUGUGAAAUUGUUAUGGGGGAAGCGCUCAAUGCCAGACGUGGCGACGGUUGGUUACCCGGCGUUCUCGCCGGCGCACUCUGCCGCCGCCAGGCCAGCAUCAGUUCGGUCCGGGGCUUACUUCCGCUCGGAACGUGGCUCUUCGGAGUGUUAUAGCCCUGCGGCGACGCCCUGGGCCGGACUGAGGAACGCGCAUCUGCCCGGAUGCUGGCGUAAUGGCUUUUAGCGACCCGUCUUGAAACACGGACCAAGGAGUUGACCUAGUAUGCGAGUGUUUGGGUGUCAAGCCCUCACGCGCAGUGAAAGCGAACGCAGGUGGGAGCCUCGGCGCACCAUCGACCGAUCCUGAAGUUUACGGAUGGAUUUGAGUAGGAGCAUACUGGGUCUGACCCGAAAGAAGGUGAACUAUGCAUGAAUAGGGUGAAGCCAGAGGAAACUCUGGUGGAGGCUCGCAGCGGUUCUGACGUGCAAAUCGAUCGUCAAAUUUGUGCAUGGGGGCGAAAGACCAAUCGAACCUUCUAGUAGCUGGGUCCUGCCGAAGUUUCCCUCAGGAUAGCAGAGUUGAUCCUCAGUUUCAUGAGGU